rnacentral:lncRNA from 1 species
GAAGUAAUGCAGUUGCUCCUUGGUACAUCAAAACUCCGAUGGUGGAUCAGGUAAUUCAGUUGCUCUUCUGUUUUGUCUGGGAAAAUUCAAUAAUCAAUUCCUCUCUCUUUUCUGUCUUUUGCAUAAUCUGGGUUGCAGAUGCUCAGCAACAAAACCUUUCUGGAAGGGGUGAUAAAUCGAGCUCCACUUCGCCGUGUGGGAGAUCCGAAGGAGGUGUCAUCUUUGGUGGCAUUCCUCUGUCUACCAGCAUCAUCUUACAUUACUGGACAGACUAUUUGUGUCGAUGGUGGCGUGACUGUUAAUGGUUUUGAGCCAAACCUGUUAUAGGAACAUCAUUAAGACUCAAAAAUCUUAGCUUCCUCUACCGCUUUCCUGUUUGGAUCCUGUCUUUUUCCUGAAUAAUCUGUUUGUGAUGGUAAGUACUCUUCUGUUUUUUCGGUGUGGGGUUCAUCUGAAAACAUUGUUGCAUGAUGCUUAUAAUAAUCGUUGGAAAGUUUGUAAGAAGUUACUUAUCAUUGGAUGAGAUUCUUGUGAUGAGUGUUUCCUAUAAUCAGAUUUAUCUUGUUAUAAGGUUGUUGUUGUAGUAGUAACUGCAAUUCAAAGGAAAUUAAUUUAGUAUAAUACUGUAGGUUGUUGUCUAGUGUCUACUACCUCAGCUUCUCAUCCCACCCAACUCUCCCUCUUUAACUACCUAAUAUGAAAUUAAAAUAUGAAUUUAACAACCUGUCCGUCUUGUCCACCGUUUCUUUGGCUCUUCAGUCUUCAGACUUCGGCCUUUUAAAGCAGGACCUAAAAGGUUUGGGCCCAAAUGUUGGAAAAACUUAACACAGGCUGCAAUUUUGGGCCCCAAAACUCUUUCCAACUGGGCCUGAACACUUUUAGGCCCAAGAUGCUUUAGAUUUUGGACUCGCAGACCAUGUAUAUGCCCUCAACACCACCAUGCUUUACUUCAUCCCUUCCUUUCAAAUUAAAAGGAAAUUCAAAUUUCAUGAUGUUACAACUUGCUCAUUGAUGUACAUUCCCAUUCACAAAAAAUAAAAUAUUAAAUGCACUUAUCCAAAAUAUCUUCAUACCUACCUAUUUUUAUUUUUAAAAUAAAAUUUAAACGUUGAAUAACAAAAAUACCAUUUUUGUCAUCCUUACCCUUCACCCUUCCGAAACCCUAAUCUAAUCUUCCCUUUCUCUCUUCUUUCAUUUUCCAUCUUCUUAAAUGGGAAAAUAACGAUCAUCAGAGCCCACCGUGACUUGUGACAGGUUCGAUCCCUUAACAAUGACGAGGCCAUUAUGGAUAAUAUAAGGAUAAGCAUUACAAUAUUUCACUCCUUCACGUGCAUCUCCCUUCACACAAAGAUGCUUCCUUCACUCAUUUUAUAUUAAUAAUAUGAUAAAUUAUACAAAAAAAAAACAAUUUUUUUUUUAUCAAAAUUGUUUUCAACAAUAUUUCAAAUAUAUAUAUAUAUAUAUAUAUAUAUAUAAAUUUGGAAAACUUGUAUUUUGGAGCUGCUAUUUAGAAAUUAUAUAGUUUUCGGAACCCAAAAAUGAGAAAUAUGAUAAUCAAAUUUUAAUAUGAAAAGUAUUAUCGUUUUUGUGCACUUUGAGUAGACUUCAUCUUUUGUGCCCAAAUGGCCCCUCCAUGUCUCCAGCUCAGCAUUCUUAGCAUCAUCCCAACCUUUGUGUCAGUAGAACCAUUGAAAUUAAGAAAAAAAAAAACACAAAAAUCUAAAUUUGUAACUUCUCAAAAAAAAAAAAAAAAAAACCCAAUCUGCAAGUUUUCAAUUUGCUCAUUUGGAAAACAUUUUUUUUUAUAAAUAUCAAUAUUAUUUUUAAAAAAUGGUGACUUUUAGCUUUUAAUUAAAACUAAGAACAAGAAGUUAUUCCAAAUAUGACUUAUGUAUUUAUUCAGUGAAAGUAAUUUUUUCAUUUAAAAAAAGUAAUUUCUUGGUGAUAAAAAGAAAUAUUUUUUUAGUAGCUUUUCGAUGCUAUAAAAAAAGUGUUGGCUAAGUUUGUAUGAUAAAAUUGGUGUUAUUUAUAUACCAGCACUUUCGCUAGGGUCUUAUUUAUUGGGAAAACUGAUUAAUAAACUAAUCUUCUGUUUUGUUUUCAGUUCAAAGAGUGGUAGAGUAGAGGAGGAGGCAUGGCUCAGACAUUUGGGUGCAGCUCUGGAGAUAGUAGAUGGUCUCUCAAGGGAAUGACUGCUCUUGUAACUGGUGGAACUAAAGGAAUUGGGUUGGUGUUACCUGUUUUUAUGUCUUUGGGUUUGGACUAUACCUUCCUAUAUAUAAACGUAUGUAUCAAUUCUGCAGGCAUGCAAUUGUGGAGGAACUGGCUGGAUUAGGAGCAACCAUACACACGUGUUCUCGAAAAGAAACCGAGCUCAAUGAAUGCUUGAAGGAUUGGAAAGCUAAAGGUUUUGGAGUGAGUGGUUCAGUGUGUGAUGUAUCCUCUCGGGCCCAAAGGGAGAAGCUAAUGGAGACUGUCUCUUCUGUGUUCAAAGGGAAGCUGAAUAUCCUUGUAAGUUCCUCUAGUCUCUAAGGUUCCGAUCCAUGAUAUUCCACAUACUUUGUCGAACUUCCAACAAUUUGAGUUCCCCUACUUGAUAUAUAUAUUUUGGUUCCGGAUUCAGGUCAACAACGCUGCUAUUGUUAUUCAGAAACCAACAGUAGAGGUCACGGCAGAAGAGUUCUCAACAAUCAUGGCCAUAAAUUUUGAAUCUGUGUAUCAUCUGUCCCAACUCGCACACCCCCUUUUAAAGGCAUCAGGAGCGGGAAGCAUUGUAUUCAUCUCCUCUGUUGCCGGCGUAGUGUCAAUCAAGUAUCUGUCUGCUUAUUCAGUAACCAAAGGUAUUUCAUUACAUGAUCCACAUUAUAUAUAUAUAUAUAUAUUGCAAGUUCUUGGGUUGUGGCCCUUGUGGCCUUCUCGGCGUGUCAUUAUCAUUAUCAUAUUGUGAUUUUUCAGGAGCAAUGAAUCAGCUUACAAAGAAUUUGGCAUGCGAGUGGGCGGAAGACAAUAUUAGAAGUAAUGCAGUUGCUCCUUGGUACAUCAAAACUCCGAUGGUGGAUCAGGUAAUUCAGUUGCUCUUCUGUUUUGUCUGGGAAAAUUCAAUAAUCAAUUCCUCUCUCUUUUCUGUCUUUUGCAUAAUCUGGGUUGCAGAUGUUCAGUAACAAAACCUUUCUGGAAGAGGUGAUAAAUCGAGCUCCACUUCGCCGUGUGGGAGAUCCGAAGGAGGUGUCAUCUUUGGUGGCAUUCCUCUGUCUACCAGCAUCGUCUUACAUUACUGGACAGACUAUUUGUGUCGAUGGUGGCGUGACUGUUAAUGGUUUUGAGCCAAACCUGUUCUAGGAACAUCAUUAAGACUCUCAAAAAUCUUAGCUUCCUCUACCGCUUUCCUGUUUGGAUCCUGUCUUUUUCCUGAAUAAUCUGUUUGUGGUGGUAAGUACUCUUCUGUUUUUUCGGUGUGGGGUUCAUUUGAAAACAUUGUUGCAUGAUGCUUAUAAUAAUCGUUGGAAAGUUUGUAAGAAGUUACUUAUCAUUGGAUGAGAUUCUUGUGAUGGGUGUUUCCUAUAAUCAGAUUUAUCUUGUUAUUGUAGUAAUAGGAUUGAAAGAAAAAUGCAAAUAAUCAUAAAAGGAUGAUGAAAAUCGGGAAGAGUUCAUCAUUUUUACUUAUUCAAAUAUUACACCAUCUCUUAUUUACAAUAAAUUUCAAAGAGUGUAAGUGAAACCAACCUUAAAUUAAUUUUGUUUGAUAAAUUUAGAUGAAAUUCAACAAGUGUGAAUCUUUAAUUUUUUUUCAUUUCAAUUAAUUUGGUAUCUAUUAUGAGGUUGCCCAUCAAGCUAAAAAUGACCAAAUAUGAUAUAAGCAUGAAGUCUUUGUUAUAUCUCGGAGAUUAAGAAUUGAUUCCAAUACUUUAUAACUUCCUCUUUUUACUUUAUAUAUCCAUGAAUUUAAGAUAGGUCCCUCACAUGUUUAGCUUCUCCCCUUGACGUACGUAGUGUCAUAUGGACAAUAAUUAAUGCUUGUUCAGCUAAGGUCAAAUAUAUGAAAACAAAUAAGAUUCAUUCACGUAAAACAUACAUGUAGCAAAGAGACGAAGGAAAGUGGGUUCUGUGAUCUAUCACACAUCAUGGAAAAAGCUGUGGUACCAUGGCUUUUCCAGGACUUUUCCUUGCAUAAUGGUACUGACAACAGUAUGCUAUUCUGUUGUUACUCUUAAGAUAUUUUAAUAUAAAGUAGCGCGUAUGUACUAUAUACAAUUCAGUGACGCCAUCUAACACGUUAGCCAAUAAGGUUACAAAUUUUAAUUUUAUAUUAAUAAUAUGAUUUGGGUAUGCUCCAUAUUUUAAAAUAUAAUUGAAUCAUAAAUAUCUAGAACUAGAAAUCCUUUUGAGGGACCAAUAACAUAAAUCAUUAAAAUUUUAUAAUUUGAUAUUAUAAAUUCCUAAUUAAAUUUUAAAAUAUAUUAAAUUUAUUUGAUAUAAAUAUAUAUAAAAAUAAAGAAAAAAAUUAAUAUUUUCAUAUGAUAAAUUAUACAAAAAAAAACAAAUAUAUUUUUUUUUAUCAAAGUUGUUUUCAACAAUAUUUCAAAAAUAUAUAUAUAAAUUUGGGAAACUUGUAUUUUGGAGCUGCUAUUUAGAAAUGAUAUGGUUUUCAGAACCCAAAAAUGGGAAAUAUGAUAAUCAAUUUUUAAUAUGAAAAGUAUUAUCGUUUUUGUGCAUUCUGAGUCGGCUUCAUCUUUUGUGCCCAAAUUGCCCCUCCAUGUCUCCAGCUCAGCAUUCUCAACAUCAUCCCAACCUCCAUGUCAGUAGGACCAUUGAAAUUAAGAAAAAAAAAAACACUAAAAUCUAAAUUUGUAACUUCUCAAAAAAAAAAAAACCCAAUAUGCAAGUUUUCAAUUUGCUCAUUUGGAAGCUUUUUCUCAUCUUUUUCUCUCAUUUUAGUUUAGAAACUCAAAUCCAAAACUCUAAAUGUGAUAUGUUGUGGAAUUGUUUUCAUAGUCCUUAACAAGAUGCAUGCGGCAUGUACUGAACUUUAACCUAAUUCCUUCUACCAAUUUUUCUGGCCCCAAGUUACUAGGGACUAUGGCUCCGAUUGGGUGGUUUUUGAGUAGUCAAAAACCAUUUUUAAAGCUUAGUAAAAAAUUUUAUGCCCCUCAUUUUAUUUAAACAAUUUAUAACUUAAAAAAAUAAGAAAAUAAAAAAAAAUGUUUUUUUAAGCUUUAUUUUGACUUAUUCAAAAAGUUUUUUUAUUUUUUUUAUUUUUAUGUUUAAUACAUUUUUUAUAAUUUCAAUAUUAUUUUUAAAAAAUAGUGACUUUUAGCUUUUAAUUAAAACUAAGAACAAGAAGUUAUUCCAAAUAUGACUUAUGUAUUCAUUCAAUGAAAGUAACUUUUUCAUUUAAAAAAAGUAAUUUCUUGGUGAUAAAAAGAAAUAUUUUUUUAGUAGCUUUUUGAUGCUAUAAAAAAAGUGUUGGCUAAGUUUGUAUGAUAAAAUUGGUGUUAUUUAUAUACCUGCACUUUUGCUAGGGUCUUAUUUAUAGGGAAACUUGUGUUUAAUAUGCUCAAUUCUAUUUCUUUGUAUGGCUAUGCAAUUGUUCAGAUUUGGCAACACUAAUCAAUAAAUGUACGUUAUAUUUGAAACAUUGGAAUAAAAAAAAGAAUAAGAGUUAAUUUUAUUUUCAAUUUAUUACUAUAUUUGAAUUAUUUUUUACAAUGAUAAUAGAAUUAAAAAGAAAAUCACUUAGUAACCCUUAGGUACUACCUUAAUAUACCUUAAAUAACCUUAAUCGAUCUUAGAUAUUAUCUUAGUUACACUUGGGUACUACCUAUGUGAAGCCUCAAAACUUCAUUUGUAGACAUUACUUCAUGUGUGAACAUUAGAGAUGACAUUAUGUGCACCUUUAAUAAGUGUUACUAAGGUAGUACCUAAGGUACAAUCAACACUAUAUCAAAGGUGCACAUAAUGUCAUGCUCUAAUGUUCACAAAUAAAGUAAGUAAUGUUUACAAAUGAAGUUUCCAGGCUUCACACAGGUAGUAUCCAAGUCUAAUUAAGUAGUACCUAAGGUCGGUAAGGUAGAUUAAGGUAAUACCUAAGGGUUACUAAGGUAGUACCUAAGGUACAAUCACCACUAUAUCAAAGGGGCACAUAAUGUCAUGCUCUAAUGUUCACAAAUAAAGUAAGUAAUGUCCAUAAAUAAAGUUUCGAGGCUUCACACAGGUGGUACCCAAGUUUAACUGAGAUAAUACCUACAAUUAGUUAAAAUUAGUACCUACAAUCAGUUAAGAUAGUACUUAAGAUAAAUUAAUGUAGUACCUAAAGGUUACUAAGGUAGUACCUAAAGGUUACUAAGGUAGUACCUAAGGUACAGUAAAUACUAAAGAACAAUAAAUAAAAAUUAAUUACCUUCGUAUUUCGAGUAGGGGUUAGGGAAAAAUGUGACAGAAUGACAGGAAGACGAGACAUUUUUUUUUAGGAAACCAAUAUUUUGGAUUUCACCUUUUCGUCCAAGUACGCUUUGCUAUAGAAAAAUCAAUAUCAUAGUUGCGCCUAUUGAAACCAUCUUUUAACUGGACGUUCUUAGGAUGGAGUGCUCCAUUUGGUUGUUGAGAAUUUAGACAAGAAAGAAAAAUGCAGGUUGGAGUUUUGGAUUAAGGGUUUCUUUUCUCAAAUUGAAGAAAUUUUAGGAAAUUUUAAAUGGGUUUUAGGAUCGUCUGGGUGAUAAAGCCAAGAGAAAUAGAGAAAGAAAUGUUUCCAACCUUUAAGAGGAAAAAGUUUCAGAUUUGGGAAAUUUGAGAUGGUUCCCGGGUCAAGUGUUUUUUUGUGUUUUAGAUUUGAGAAGUUUCAAAUUCUUGGAGAAGAUAUAAAUAUGUAGAUUUGAAUUUUAAGGGUUUCUUUUUUGAAAUGAGAGAAAUUUUGGAAAAUUUUAUAGGUGUCUUUCUAAUUCGGCUAGGUAAGGAAGUGAAGAGAGUUGAGAGAAAAUGUUCCCAAAUGAGAGAGAUGGAAAGUUUUUGAUUUGGGAAAUUAGAGGUGUUGUCAGGAUGGGUGUUUAUGAGAACUUUCAAAUUCUAAUUUUUGUGUUUUGUUUAAUUUCAGAAGGUCUUGUUGACAUGAAAAGCUGACUUACUGCUGACAUGGAGACAUUGAGGGACAAUCUGGGAAUAGAAAAUGUAAACAUGACAUAGUGCAUGAGAACGAUAAUAUUUUCUCCAAUAACAGGGAAAUAUCAUAUUUCAUAUACUUGGGGUUCGAAAAGCAUAUAAUUUUCAAAUCACAGACUGAAAACACAAGUUUCCCAUAAAUAUACUUAAAGCAUGUUUGAUAACAAUUUUGAAAAAUAAUUUUCGAAAAUAGUUAUUUAAAAUUGUUUUUUGAUGUUUACAACAUAAAAAAAAAAAAAAAACAUGUUUGACAACCUAAAAUAAUUUUUAUAUCUAAUAUUUUAUUUUUAAUAAUUCGAUAUAUUUGUAUAAUUAUUUUUAAAAAUAGCUGUAAAAAAUAAGUGAAAACAAGUAAAGAUGUUAUCCGAAAACAUUAUAUUUUUUAUUUUUAAAAACAAAAAAUAGUUUUUCUUAUUCUCAAACAAGUUUUCCUGUUUUUUACGAAGAAAAAAUUAUUGUCAAACAAUCCCUUAUAUACUUGUGUUUUAUCAAGUGGUGAAAUAUCUUUGUAUGAAUUAUAUAGCAACUCAUAAGAGUAAGAGAAAAAGAGACAAUUUUAAAAGUGCAUAUGACAAGUGGAAAUUAUUAGAAAAGAGGCAAUUUUAAGAAUGGAUUUGAUAUGUGUCACAAAGACCACUAAAAUUUGGUGUGAAUAUAUAAAUAAGUUUUAAAUUUUGUUGAUUAACAUAUCUAUAAAUUUUUUUAUUUAUAAAAUUUAAUUUUUAGAGAAAUUUUAGAUAAAAAGAUUUUAGAUCUAUUCAAUCAAAAAUUGAAAGAGUAACUUAAUGUAUUUACUCUAAGCCUCAUGGUGUGUGAAUUAAACCAACCUUCAAAGAAAAAUAGAAAAAAAAAAAAGUGAAUCAUAAUAAAAAGGAAAGUAGUCAAAAUCAAAAGGAGAAUCAAAUUUGAUUUCCAUAUUAGUGAUUUUUUAAAAAAAAUUCUAUUAUCAUUGUAAAAAAUAAUUCAAAUACAUUAAUAAAUUGAAAAUAAACUUAACUCUUAUUCUCAUUUCUUAUUCCAAUGUUUCAAAUAUAACGUCCAUUUAUUGAUUAGUGUUGCCAAAUCCGAACAAUUGCAUAGCAAUACAAAGAAAUGGAAUUGAGCAUAUAAAACACUUUUUUUUUAUAGUAUCAAAAAGCUACUGAAAAAAAUAUUUCUUAUCUCCAAGAAAUUACUUUUUUAAAAUGAAAAAAUUACUUUCAUUGAAUGAAUACAUAAGCCGUAUUUGGAAUAACUUCUUAUUCUUAAUUUUAAUUAAAAGCAAAAAGUCACAAUUUUUUAAAAAUAAUAUUGAUAUUAUAAAAAAUGUAUUAAACAUAAAAAAACCUUUUUGAAUAAAUCAAAAUAAAGCUUUAAAAAAAACAUUUUCUUGAUUUUCAUAUUAAGUUAUUUUUUAAGUUAUAAAUUAUUUAAAUAAAAUGAGCAGCAUAAAAAAUCUUAUAGAGCUUUAAAAAUGGUUUUUGACUACUCAAAUCCACCCAAUCGGAACCAUCAUCCCGGUAACUUGGGGCCAGAAAAAUUGGCAAAAGGAAUGAGGUUAAAGUUCAGUACGUGUUGCAUGCAUCUUAUUAAAGACCAUAAAAGCAAUUCCAUAAUAUAUCACAUUUGGAGUUUUGGAUUUGGGUUUUUAAACUAAAAUGAGAGAAAUUUUGGGUUGUCGAAAGCGAAGAAAGAUGAGAGAAAACUUUCAAAUAAGUAAAUUGAAAACUUACAGAUUGUGUGUGUGUGUUUUUUUUUUUUUUUUUUAAAAAAAGUUAUAGAUUAAGAUUUUAAUAUUUUUUUUUUCUUAAUUUCAGUGGUUUGAUUGAUAUAGAGGUUGAAAUGAUGUUGAGGAUGCUAAGCUGGAGACAUGAAUGGGCAACUUGGGCAUGAAAGAUGGAGCCAGCUCAGAGGCAUAAAAACGAUAAUACUUUUUAUAUUAAAAAUUGAUUUUCAUAUUAAAUUUUAUACAUCUAUUUUAAAACAAUUAAAAUUUUAUUCAAUUUUCAAUUAUAAUAUAUGCACUGCCUCUCGCGGGUCGAUACUGCUGACGAGUGCAUGAAAUUAUUAUAAAUAUCUCAUGGAAUGAGGACAGAUUAAAGAAGAGGAGAGAGAGAGAGAGAGAGGGAGAAGAAGAAGACAACCAAAAAAGAAAAGGAAGACAGCAUUGUAAACAUAGAAAAUGGAAAGUAUUGGAAAUAUUUCAUGAAAUCGGAGUAAACAACAAAACAAAAUAAAAUACUUUUAAUCCCUGUUUCCUACUUCUGUCAUAAAGUAUGGAUAGAGAUGAGACGAAGGAGGAGAAGGAGGAGAAGGAGGAGCACUCAGCUUUCACCGAUACUGCAGUGUGUUGUGGUGGUGUAGCAUAUGGUAGGAUGUCAUUCUUGCUCCAAAAGUGUGGGCAGAUCCAUUUUUAUUUUCCUUUUUUCAUCUCUGUCCUCACUGAUUCGUUUUGGGUAUCCAUCAAUAUUUAUCAGUGGGCUUGGUGUUAGUCAAAAGCCACCAAUUUUUCUUUCCUUUUUUUUUUUCCCAUAUAUUAGAAUGAAAUGUUGUUGUCCAUUUUAGGGGAAGGCGUUAUGCUGAACUGAACUGUGCGAGGGGAAUGAAAAUUAAUUUAGGGGUUUUCUUCCUCCUCUAUUUUUGGCUCUCUUUCAUGAGGGUACAGAUUCUCUUUUUUUCUCUCGGAGUGUUUGGAUUGUUUCAUUCCAUUUAACUAUUUUUGCAGCAUAUUCCGAGUGUUAUAGGUAUUGGGUAAUCAGUAAUACAGAAAAUGUAAUAUAAUUUUGUACUAUGUAGUUUUGGACUUGGGGUAGGAUGAGUUUAAUUUAUGUAGAUUCAUGUCACUAUUCUCAGCCUUCAAUGCAUUGAUUUCUCCAGAUUUUGAUAUAUAUAUAUAUAUAUAUAUACAAACUGCAAUGGGAAUAAAAAGGAUGGUUGUUUCUUCAAGAAUUCUGAGAAAAAAAAAGGGGGUGGGGGGGCAAGAGAGGUUUGAGGAGGCCAUUGGGACUGUUAUCAGUUCUGUGUCUUUUGUUUUCAAGUUGUAAGAAGUCCCUGUUAUGCCAUUUGCUAUGUUGUUUCUGUCCAAUUUUCAGUUGAAAGAGUGGUAGAUUAGAGAAGGAGGAAUGGCUCAGACAUCUGGAUGCAGCUCUGGAGAUAGUAGAUGGUCUCUCAAGGGAAUGACUGCUCUCGUAACUGGUGGAACUAAAGGAAUUGGGUUUGUGAUGUUACCUGUAUUCUAUGUCUUUGGUUUGGACUACACCUUCCUUCCCAUAUAUAAAUGUAUGUAUCAAUUAUGCAGGCAUGCAAUUGUGGAAGAACUGGCUGGACUAGGAGCAACCAUACACACAUGUUCUAGAAAAGAAACCGAGCUCAAUGAAUGCUUGAAGGAUUGGAAAGCUAAAGGUUUUGGAGUGAGUGGUUCAGUGUGUGAUGUAUCCUCUCGGGCCCAAAGGGAGAAGCUAAUGCAGACUAUCUCUUCUGUGUUCAAUGGGAAGUUGAAUAUCCUUGUAAGUUCCUCUAGCCUGUAAAGUUCCAACCUGUGAUCUUAUACAUAAUUUGUUGAACUUAUUACAAUUGAGUUCCCCUGCUUGAAUUUUUGUUGGAUUCAGAUCAACAAUGCUGCUAUAAGUAUUCAGAAACCAACAAUAGAGGUCACAGCUGAAGAGUUCUCAACAAUCAUGGCCACAAAUUUUGAAUCUGUGUACCAUCUGUCCCAAAUCGCACACCCCCUUUUAAAGGCAUCAGGAGCCGGAAGCAUUGUAUUCAUCUCCUCUGUUUCCGGCAUAGUGGCACACAAGAAUAUCUCUGCUUAUUCAGUAACCAAAGGUAUUUCAUCACAUGAUCCAUGGUAUAUUCCAAGUGCUAGGAGUAAAUUCCUAUUUACCAGAGCAAUACUGAACAAGAGAAACAUAUAGAAUUUAUAGCGGUUCUCUUCUAAAGGGAGAGCUACAUCCAUUUUGCCAUUGUAGAUUUUCAUUAUGAAAAAAAAAAAAACCUACAGAACGAUCUCAGGUCUUACAAUAAUUAUCUCAUCUCUGAUUUUCCACAGAGAAAACAGUCACCAUGCAUGUACAAAAUAACUAUAAUAUCCCUUUGAUUGAUUCUCAGUCACCAGGAAAAGUGUAUAUUGUAAUUAGCAAGGCUCCACACAACUGAACAGCAAGUCCUUGGAUUGACCAUCUGUCAUUAUCAUUUUGUGAUUUUUCAGGAGCAAUGAAUCAACUUACAAAGAAUUUGGCAUGCGAGUGGGCGAAAGACAAUAUUAGAAGUAAUGCUGUAGCUCCUUGGUACAUCAAAACUCCAAUGGUGGAGCAGGUAAUUUCUAAUUUCCCUUCACAUCAUUUAGUUGCUCGAAUUCCCUUCUUUUUUUCUUGGUCUGGGAAAAUAGAAUAAUUGACUCGUCCUUCCUUCUCUGUCGUUUACAUUCUCUGGGUUCCAGAUGCUCACUAACCAAGCCUUUCUGGAAGAGGUGAUAAAUCGAGCUCCACUUCGUCGUGUGGGAGAUCCAAAGGAGGUGUCAUCUUUGGUAGCAUUCCUCUGCCUACCGGCAUCAUCUUACAUUACUGGACAGAUUAUUUGUGUUGAUGGUGGCAUGACUGUUAAUGGUUUUGAGUCAAACCUGCUCUAGGAACAUCAUAUGUGAUGGUAUUAUAGCCCUAAUUUGGCUGGCAUGUAUGGAGACUCUUUCAAACAUCUUAGCUUCCUCUACUGCUUCCAUGCCUGGAUCCUUUCUUUUUCCUGAAUAAUCUGCUUGUCAUGCCAAAGUCUUUAGUUUUUUUGGUGUGGGGUUCCCUUGAAAACCUUGCUGCAUGAUGCUUAUAAUAAUGUUUGGAAAGUUUGCUAAUUUUUAUUUGGGUUCAAAUUUUAAUUUUUCAAAAAGUUUCUUAUUAUUUGAUGAGAUUCUUGUGAAGGGUGUUUUUAUAAGGAUUUUAAUUCCAUACAUAAAUCAUACAUCUUUAAUCUCAAUACCAUUGAAAUAUAUAUCCAAUCCUUUGUUGUUCUUUCGUUUUUUUGUAACUUAAUUGUAGUAGGAUCGGAAAUAUGCGAACACUUUCUACUUUUGACCAUUUGCUUUGCUAAAUUAGACCAACUUUUCAUAAUACAAUUCUCAAGUAUUUCUUCAUUUUCAUUACAAUGAUCAUGCAUGGAUAUGGAAAAACUAAUCGGACUCUAAUGUCGUUCAAAUGCAUUUCAUAGAUCAAUCUUCAUCGUCGUAUCCUAAUUUUCAAAACUUGUUAGAACUUCUAAACUUAGUCAAUAUGUAUAGACAUGAUAUCCUCCAUGAUUUUUUUUUAUUGCAACGAAAAAAAGUUAUACAUUCUAUAUUUGAUCCCUAAAUAAAAAAGAAAAAAAGAAAAAAAAAAGAAUGUCUUGCAAAAAUAUUAGGGUUGCACAAAGUUUGGUUGUUAGAAUAAGUAAAAAUGAUGUGCAUCAAAAUAUGUCUUUGAGAAUGGCAAAUAUGUGAGUGCGCUUUAAAAACUCAAAUGGCUUCAAAUGAAUUUCAAGGAAAUGAUUCCAACAUAUAUUCAUCUUCUUAUACCUUUCUGUGCUUCUCCACCAUUUGUAACAAUUUCCUCACUCAUUUGUAAUCCUAAUAAACCUUCCGACCUAUUUUAAAAUUUGUCAAUAUAUUUUAAGCUAAGCUCACCAUCUAUAGUAUCAAAAAAAUUUCUCCUUAAUCCAUGUGGGAUAUGUAUAAUGAAUAAUAUUUGCUCAAAGGUUAAAUAUAUGAAAAUAAUUAAGAUUCAAUCACAUAAAAAUUACAUAUAGCAAGUAGGGAUAACAAUUUUGAUACUAAUAUAAUAAAACGACUAAAAAAUUACAUGGAUUUUAGUAGUUUUGGGUUAAGUAUAAUCAUAUUUAUGUUAUAAUUGUGUAAACACAUUUAUUAAACCAAUGAUAUUGGAAUGUGACUAUUCAACUCAUUUAACCCAUUUAUUUAUUCAUAUCAAAACACAUCUAUGAUAUGAUUAUGAGAACUAAUUUAUGAUUGACAUAACCAAUUUAUAACUUAUUAAUUAAUUCAUAUAAAUUUAUUAAUUUUAUAGAUAUUUAAAAAAUAUUAAAAAUUUAAAACACUUUUUCAAUUAUAAAGAUGUCCUAUAAAACACUAAGGAGGUCACCCUUAUUUAUAUAUGAAAUUAGGGAAUUAAAUUUGAAAUAUAUGAUAUUUGAUUACUUAAUUUAAAGAAUUUGAUUUCUUAAUUUCAAUAACUUUUCAGCCUCAUUUAAGAAAUUUGCCAACAAUCAAAUGUUUUUUCUAAGUCCCUUUUGACUUCAAUUUCCCAAUUUGUUUCUCCUAUUUGAGAAAUCUAUCAAUAAGAAAAUAUUUCUCUCUAAUUCCUUUUUAACUUUAAUUAUUUUAUUUUAUUUUAUAAGACUAGAUUUUGAAACCGUUCAAAUUUUACCGUGUGUUAUUUUUAAAAUCGUAUAUCGCAUGUUCAAUGUGUAGAAUUCAUGACUUAUGAAAUCCAAAUUUUAUUGAACUAUAGGGUUAUAACUUUAGUGACAAAUUUUAUAGUAAUUUAAUCCUUCUUUUAUUUUUAAGCCUACAUAGCUCAACAAGUUGAAUAUAUUUUUAUCGUGUUAAUGGGUUAUCAGUCUUGAUUUAAUUUAAUUUAUCAAAGAGGUUAAAUGAAUGAUUCCCAAUUUGCCACCACAAUAACAAGAGACAACAGACAGAAGGAAAGAGAAACUAAAAUACGUAAUGUGACUUUUCCUUUCAUGUUGCUUACUAUACUUGGUGUCUCUUAAUUUGUUUUUAUUAUAAGAUGUUAAUAAUAUGAUUUUAUUGAUUUAUACCCCAUAUAUAUCAUUUGAGGGAUUGAAAAUAUUGCAAAUUCAUAAUUAAAUUUAAAAGAUAAAUACAUAUACACACACACACAUAUAUAUAUAUAUAUAUAUAUAUAUAUAUAUAUAUAUGAAUAAAAAAAAUCAUCUAUGUAUAAAAUAAUAAUAAGUAGUCUAUUUUUAUCAUUUUUAUGUUAGAAGUUAAUCGAAAACAUAUUUUUUGUUUUUCCAUAAUUUAUACAAAAUUAUAAUAAAAUUUUUAUUCUAGAUAAAAUUAUAUUUUAUAAUUUGUAAUAAUUUAAUUAUAUCAAUUUAAUAUUUUGAUAUCCGUCGUAAAUUAUAUAGAAAUAUUGGAGUGCAAAUACUAAACUACAUAAUAACAACAAGACACCUUAUUCAUCCAAAUUUUCAAAUUUCAAAUAGAAAAUAUUAAAAACAUAAUUUUUAAAUUUAUUAAAAUAUUUAUAUUUGUAAAAAAGUAAUUAAUAAAGAUUUUAAAAUUUUAAAUAUGAUUAAUGAGAUUAUUAUGUGGGUAUUUAUUACUAAUAUUUAAUAUUAAAAAAAAUAAAAUAACAAUAUGAUAUUAAGAUUAUAUUUUUAUAAAUAUAGCAAAAUGAGAUUAUUCUAAAUUCAGUGAUGAUAACAUUAUAGUAAAAAUAAGGAGUGAUAUAAUUAUAAAUAUUUCACUAAGAGCAUAAAAAAUAAAAAAAUAUGGUAAAUUUAGCGAGUAAUAUUGUUACUAUAAAUAUCUGGUGACACGACGACAGAUAUAUGAGUAGAGAAAAACCUCGCUAUUCUACAUAUAGAGAUUCAGAUACCAUUGCCUAUGUCAUGAAAUCAGAGUCCACAAGAAGACAACAUAAAAUGCUAUCGAUCCAUCGCUGUUUCUUGCUCCUGUUAUAAAUUAUGGAUACUAGAUGAAGAUGAGAAGUAGAAGGAGAAGAAACACUUAGCUUUCAAGGAGUCGUAGAGCAGAGGAGGAGACAUGGCUCAGACAUGUGGGUGCAGCUCUGGAGAUAGUAGAUGGUUUCUCAAGGGAAUGACUGCUCUUGUAACCGGUGGAACUAAAGGAAUUGGGUUGGUGUUACCUGUUUUUACGUCUUUGGGUUUGGACUACACCUUCCUAUAUAUAAACGUAUGUAUCAAUUCUGCAGGCAUGCAAUUGUGGAGGAACUGGCUGGAUUAGGAGCAACCAUACACACGUGUUCUCGAAAAGAAAGCGAGCUCAAUGAAUGCUUAAAGGAUUGGAAAGCUAAAGGUUUGGAGUGAGUGGUUCAGUGUGUGAUGUAUCCUCUCGGGCCCAAAGGGAGAAGCUAAUGGAGACUGUCUCUUCUGUGUUCAAUGGGAAGCUGUAUAUCCUUGUAAGUUCCUCUAGUCUCUAAGGUUCCUAUCCAUGAUAUUCCACAUACUUUGUCGAACUUCCUACAAUUUGAGUUCCCCUACUUGAUAUAUAUAUAUAUAUAUAUAUUAUAUACUUUUUUUUAGAACCAGACAGCUUUGGUUUCAAAGACCCUACAUUUACCCAUCAUCCUUGUUAAAUAAUUAUGAGGAAGUCAUACUUACACGUGGAGAUUGAAAAAAAUAAUGAAUGAAUUCCACCAAAUGAAUUAAUUUUGUUUGGCAAUUUCAUUUGAAAAUCAACAAAGAAUGAUGUGAGGUGUGAAUCUUUUUCCAUAUAUCAGCGCACAUAUUCAAAUUCAGCCCUUUCCAUUAAUCUGAUAGCGAUUAUGAGGUUGCGUAGAUGCUACAACAACGACCAAAUGUGAUGAAGAUUUCAGGAAGUGUUGUGAAGAAUUUGAAGAAAAAUAUGAAGAAUUUGAAACAAAAUAUGGAGGAACACCUCAAUUCAUUCUGUGAUACCUUCCUUUACAAUGAAUGAAAGCAUAAAUAAAUAGCCUACGGAUAUGAGACAAUUCCGGAAUGGAAUUUCCCUUACAUGGAAAGUGAAUAAACUCUUACAUGGGAAGUGAAUAAACUACUCUUACAUGGAAAGUGAAUAAACUACCUUGCUAGAAUUACUCCUAAAUAUAUAAACUACUCUUACAUGGAAAGUGAAUAAACUACCUUGCUAGAAUUACUCCUAAAUCAAUUAUAAUAAAGGCUGUACAUUACACUAAUUAGGGAAGUAAACAGAGGAUGCUGGCUUGAUUUCCAACACUCCCCCUCAAGCCGCAUUGUAGAUGUUGAUCAUUCCAAGUUUUUCUGUCAGAUCUUCGAAGUUAACUCGAGCAAGAGCUUUUGUGAGAAUGUCAGCCGUUUGACAGUUUGUCGGAGUGUAGCUGACUUUGAAAACUCCUUCUUCAAUCUUUUCCUUGAUAAAGUGUCGAUCUAUCUCCACGUGCUUAGUUCGAUCAUGAUGAACCGGAUUCUUAGCGAUACUGAUGGCAGCUUGAUUGUCGCAGUAUAACACCAUGGGAUGCUUCAAUGGAACCCGUAAUUCUUCUAACAGCCUGUUCAACCAGAUUCCCUCGCAGAUACCUUGUGCCAUAGCACGAAAUUCUGCCUCAGCACUGCUACGGGCUACCACUGACUGUUUCUUGCUUCGCCAUGUAACCAAGUUCCCUCAGACAAAUGAACAAUAGCCUGAAGUUGAUCUCCGAUCAGUCACUAAACCUGCCCAAUCUGCAUCUGAAAAAAUCUCUAUCUCUUUAUUUGUUGUUCUUUGAAAGAAGAGACCCUUUCCCGGUGUCAUCUUGAGGUAUCUCAAUAUUCUGAUCACAGCAAUCAUGUGUUUUUCGGUUGGAUUAUUCAUGAAUUGACUUACCACACUAACGGAGAAGCCGAUGUCUGGCCUUGUAUGAGAAAGAUAGAUGAGUUUCCCCACAAGACGUUGAUAUCUUCCUUUAUCAACUGGCGCACUUCCAUCACAUUUCUUCCANNNNNNNNNNNNNNNNNNNNNNNNNNNNNNNNNNNNNNNNNNNNNNNNNNNNNNNNNNNNNNNNNNNNNNNNNNNNNNNNNNNNNNNNNNNNNNNNNNNNNNNNNNNNNNNNNNNNNNNNNNNNNNNNNNNNNNNNNNNNNNNNNNNNNNNNNNNNNNNNNNNNNNNNNNNNNNNNNNNNNNNNNNNNNNNNNNNNNNNNNNNNNNNNNNNNNNNNNNNNNNNNNNNNNNNNNNNNNNNNNNNNNNNNNNNNNNNNNNNNNNNNNNNNNNNNNNNNNNNNNNNNNNNNNNNNNNNNNNNNNNNNNNNNNNNNNNNNNNNNNNNNNNNNNNNNNNNNNNNNNNNNNNNNNNNNNNNNNNNNNNNNNNNNNNNNNNNNNNNNNNNNNNNNNNNNNNNNNNNNNNNNNNNNNNNNNNNNNNNNNNNNNNNNNNNNNNNNNNNNNNNNNNNNNNNNNNNNNNNNNNNNNNNNNNNNNNNNNNNNNNNNNNNNNNNNNNNNNNNNNNNNNNNNNNNNNNNNNNNNNNNNNNNNNNNNNNNNNNNNNNNNNNNNNNNNNNNNNNNNNNNNNNNNNNNNNNNNNNNNNNNNNNNNNNNNNNNNNNNNNNNNNNNNNNNNNNNNNNNNNNNNNNNNNNNNNNNNNNNNNNNNNNNNNNNNNNNNNNNNNNNNNNNNNNNNNNNNNNNNNNNNNNNNNNNNNNNNNNNNNNNNNNNNNNNNNNNNNNNNNNNNNNNNNNNNNNNNNNNNNNNNNNNNNNNNNNNNNNNNNNNNNNNNNNNNNNNNNNNNNNNNNNNNNNNNNNNNNNNNNNNNNNNNNNNNNNNNNNNNNNNNNNNNNNNNNNNNNNNNNNNNNNNNNNNNNNNNNNNNNNNNNNNNNNNNNNNNNNNNNNNNNNNNNNNNNNNNNNNNNNNNNNNNNNNNNNNNNNNNNNNNNNNNNNNNNNNNNNNNNNNNNNNNNNNNNNNNNNNNNNNNNNNNNNNNNNNNAUGCAUGAAACGUAGGUGAUAGCUUAUCAUAAGAAAAUAAAAUUUCCAAAUGGGAUGCUGAGUGCAUGAUCUAACUCCUUUCCUCCAAGCUAUGGGCAUAUUAAGAAUAUCAUUUUCUAACUCGGAAUCAACAGUACCAUCAGGAGCGUUGUUACCUGGAAGUUUGCUUGGAUUAGGACCCGGUUCUGCCUCAUGGGUUUGUUGAGAAAGUGAUCUUUCCUCCGUUUCCUCUUGGAUGUGCUCCUUAUCCCACAAGUCAACAAUGGACUCGGGUUGAUUAAAUGACUCUGGAGGAAUGUGAUUUUCAGUGGUGAUGGGUGACUCACUGAAUGACUCAAGAUCCCAAAAUUGAUAUUCCUGAGUUGAAUUCUCCCCCUGAAUAUCGUUUUUGGGAUAGUAAGGCUGGGUUUCAAAAAAGGUGACAUCCAUUGAAUUUUAGAAUUUUCUUGUGACCGGAGAGUAACACUUAUACCCUUUUUGAUUUGAAGAAUACCCAAGAAAGAUGCACUUGAGUGACCUAGGAUCAAGUUUACUUCUAUGUUGUUGAUUGAUAUGAACAAAGAUAGAGCACCCGAAAAUUUUAGGUGGGACGGUGGAGAUGAGACGAGUAGUCGGAAAGGAUUUUAGGAGUGUUUGACAAGGUGUUUGGAAUUUUAGUACCCUAGACGGCAUCCUAUUGAUGAGGUAGGCUGCCAUAAGGACAGCUUGCCCCCAGAAUAAUUUUGGAACAUUCAUGGAGAACAUUAGUGAUCUAGCCACCUCUAACAAAUGCCUAUUUUUCCUUUCAGCGAUUCCGUUUUGUUGUGGGGUAUCAACACAUGAAUUUAAGUGAACUAUCCCUUCUUGUGCUAGAAAUUCUCCUAGAAUGGAGUUGAAAUAAUCCCUAGCAUUAUCAGACUUUAGAAUUUGUAUUUUUGACUGGAAUUGAGUCUGAAUCAUAUUUUUAAAAUUUUUGAAAAUUUGACUCGUUUCAGAUUUUUCUUUCAUGAGGAAUACCCAAGUUAAUCUAGUGUGAUCAUCUAUGAAUGAGACAAACCACCUAGUACCAGUUACAUUUUUUAUUCUUGAUGGACCCCAGAUAUUGCUAUGAAUCAUUGAGAAUGGACUAGACUCUUUAUAGGGUUGAAUGGGAAAAUGAGACCGGACUUGCUUUGAUAAUUGACAGAUUUCACACUCAAAGGAUUUUGGAUUUUUAUUAAAUAAUGAAGGAAAUAAAUGCUUGAGAUACAUAACAUUUGGAUGACCUAAGCGAUAGUGCCACAACCUAAUUGCACUAUCGUUAUUUUGACAUGAAACCAAAAAAGAAUUACUACCAACUGUCAUUUGAGGUUGUUCUUGUGGAUCGUGGCGCUCCUUAAGGAUGUAGAGUCCAGAGCAUUCCUCAGCAUUGCCAAUCGUCUUCCCCGAAUCCAAAUCCUGAAAUUCACAGUGAGUGGAGGAAAAAUUAGUAGAUACACCUCUUUUCCUUAGUGAGUUUACUAANNNNNNNNNNNNNNNNNNNNNNNNNNNNNNNNNNNNNNNNNNNNNNNNNNNNNNNNNNNNNNNNNNNNNNNNNNNNNNNNNNNNNNNNNNNNNNNNNNNNCGUCAUAUGAUCAGAUGCUCCUGAGUCCACUAUCCAAGGUUUUUUACGUUUCUUACCAGCAGUGAAGGCACUCAAAAAAUUACCUUUGUGAGCCAAGGUUCCGGAACCAAUGACCUGGUUGGAAGAUGAGCCAGUUUGUGACUGUACUGACAAAAGAGGAGACAGUAGUUUCUGAAGCAUCUCCAUCUGAUGAGAGGAUGAAGACGAUGAGAUGAUGAUAUCAGAAGUAGAGGAUGAUGAGUUGGUAGCCAUUCCAAAGGCUGGACCGUAUUUAGGCAUAAAUUAGAAGAAUAGAAUUGAGUAAAAAAAAACUGACUAAAGAUGAAGACGAUGAGACAGGAUUAAACCUGCUCUGAUACCAUGAAGAAUUUGAAGAAAAAUAUGAAGAAUUUGAAAACAAAAUAUGGAGGAACACCUCAAUUCAUUCUGUGAUACCUUCCUUUACAAUGAAUGAAAGCAUAAAUAAAUAGCCUACGGAUAUGAGACAAUUCCGGAAGGGAAUUUCCCUUACAUGGAAAGUGAAUAAACUCUUACAUGGGAAGUGAAUAAACUACUCUUACAUGGAAAGUGAAUAAACUACCUUGCUAGAAUUACUCCUAAAUCAAUUAUAAUAAAGGCUGUACAUUACACUAAUUAGGGAAGUAAACAGAGGAUGCUGGCUUGAUUUCCAACAUGUUGGAGUGCGCAUGCUUGAGGAUGAAAACUGUGAACUUGAAAUGACUUAGAAGAUUAAUUUAAGUUUUCAAAUACAUAAAAUAUAAUUAAUAACAUAACUUAAUACAAUAAGUUAAGGCUUCCUAAAGUCUUAAAAUAAAUAACUUUUUCCCAACCUGAAAUAUCCUUUGCCUUGGUAAUAUUCAUGUUCUUCAAGAUCAAAAUUAGUUUGUUUGAUAUAUAAUUCAAAUUAAAAGAUGGAGGGUGUGCCGGGUCCUUUCUAAAUUCAAAAUGGCAUCAUGAAUCAGGUAAGGUUGUGCCCCACGGAUGAAAAUAUAGUAUUAGUUUGGACAAUGUGCCAUGGAAAGAAGAUAGAUUAAGUUCUACAUAUUCAUAUCAGUUGUCUCAGCUUUCACGGCAGACAUUUUCGACGCAAGAGACCGUCUCUUGCGGUGAGUAUUAACCACACUUCUAAAGUUGGAUGUUCGAGAAGACAACUGGGAUUGAUCAGUUUUGUCUCUUUUAUUUUCAGCUUCCUAGAAUCUCUCUCUCUAUCUCUCUUUUUUUUUUCUCAAGGUUAAUGUCAUUUUCUAUGUUGUGGUAGAGUAGAGAAGAACUCAGAAGGCAUGGCACAGACUGGCUGCAGCAAUGGAGAUAAUAGAUGGUCUCUCAAGGGAAUGACAGCCCUUGUAACGGGUGGAAUGAACUUUGAUCUGUCUCUGCCAAUUAUCACCUUGUUUUUAUAUCAAUUCUGCAGGCAUGCUGUUGUGGAAGAACUGACUGGAUUAGGUGCAAGAAUACAUACAUGUUCUCGAACAGAAACUGGGCUUAAUGAAUACUUAAGGGAUUGGGAGGGUAAAGGUUUUGAAGUCACUGGCUCAGUCUGUGAUGUAUCCUCUAGGGCCCAAAGAGAGAAGCUAAUGGAGACAGUAUCUUCUAAGUUUAAUGGGAAGCUGAAUAUCCUUGUUAGUUCCUCUAGUUUGUUAAAUGUGACCCAUCCAUUUUAGAAUCAUUUUCACUAAAUAUAAUUGAUGAGUUACCCUAACUGAAUCUUUGAAUUUAGAUCAACAACGCUGGAACUGGCAAACCGGGACGGACAGUGGAGUUCGCAGCUGAAGAGUUCUCAACGGUCAUGGCUGUAAAUUUUGAAUCUGUGUAUCAUCUAUGCCAACUUGCGCAUCCCCUUCUGAAGGCCUCAGGAGCGGGAAGUAUUGUGCUCAUGUCUUGUGUUUCAGGUGUAGUAUCACUCAAGUAUCUAUCUGCCUAUGGAGCAACCAAAGGUACUUCAUGCCACCAUCGGGUUUAUGUUGCAGGUCCUGUGUUGUUGGACAAGAUGAUAGAUAUUUACCUUUAAAAUUUUUCUUUCGGGGGCACUGAAUCAGCUUGCAAAGAACUUGGCAUGCGAGUGGGCGCAAGACAAUAUCAGGACAAACUCUGUUGCCCCUCGGUACAUCAAAACUUCUCUGGUAGAACCUGUGAGUUUAAUUCCCUUCACCUCAUUUAAAAGUUGCUGUUGUUUUCAUUGGGAAAACUGAUUAAUAAACCAAUCUUCUGUUUUGUUUUCUUUUAUUUUUUUGGUUGUAUCAUUUUGGUUUCAGUUUCUUAGUGAGAAAAGCUUUACGGAAGAGGUAAUAAGAAGAACUCCGCUUGGUCGAGUGGGGGAUCCAAAGGAGGUGUCAUCCUUGGUAGCAUUCCUCUGCCUACCAGUAUCAUCUUACAUUACUGGCCAGACCAUUUGUGCUGAUGGUGGGAUGAAUGUUAAUGGUUUCGAUCCGAGUCAAUGCUAGAAACAACUAGCAUUUAUAUAAUUGUUGUUUUCUCAUAUUUUUCAUACUCACUCUAAUAUUCUUCAUUAUCAUAUUUAUAUAUAUAUAUAUAUAUAGAUAUAUAUAUAUAUUUAUGUAGGUGUACGUGCACACGUGUGUUCAUGUGCGGAUCAUGGACAUUUUUUUUGUAUUCUGUCAUAUUCUUCUUACACUCUCAAAAUAUUCAUAUAUUUUUUACAAUCUUCAUGCAUUUUUUUUUUUUAAUUCUUGAUAUUCUCUCAUAUUCUUUGUAUAAUUUAUAUUGGAAAAAUGAAUAAAAAAAAUAUGGUUUAAAAUUGAUAAAAUAAGAAUAAAAGAUAUAAAAAUAAAAUAAAAUGAUAGAAAAAUAUCAAUAUUAGAGGAAGAUAUACUUGGAUAAUUAGACGCUAAAACCUUGAAGAUGCAAACAUAGUAUGUGGCUAUUUAAUGAGGAACUUAAGGAAUUUGUUCAAUAAUAGUAGCUACCAUGGGAUUAAAGGAUAGUGUAAACGAGUCCGAGGGAGAAACAAUUUUAAUAAAAAAUUAAUUAAAAAUUUAUAUAUUUGUAAUAAAAAUUUGAAAUAAGUUAAAUUAAUUUAAAAUGAUAUAUAAAAAUGAUUUACUGCUUUAAAUCUAUUUUUAUUUUUUAUUUUUUUUUCAUUUCUUUUUUACUUUUUCUUUAUAUAUAUAUAUAUAUAUAUAUAGAUAUAGAUAUAGAUAUAUAUAUUAUAUAUUUUUUUGAGAACCAGCCAGCUUUGGUUUCAAAGACCCUACAUUUACCCACCAUCCUUGUCAAAUAAUUAUGAGGAGCUCAUGCUUACAUGUGGAGAUUGAAAAAAAAUAAUGAUUGAAUUCCACCAAAUGAAUUAAUUUUGUUUGGCAAUUUCAUUUGAAAAUCAACAAAGAAUGAUGUGAUGUGUGAAUCUUUUUCCAUAUAUCAGCGCACAUAUUCAAAUUCAUCCCUUUCCAUUAAUCUGAUAGCGAUUAUGAGGUUGCGUAGAUGCUACGACGACGACCAAAUGUGAUGAAGAUUUCAGGAAGUGUUGGAGUGCGCAUGCUUGAGGACCAAAACUGUGAACUUGAAAUGACUAUUGAAUGCUACCAUAUGAAAUUCGGCCUGAAUCUUUUUCCAAUUCAAAUGCAGGCAGUUCCAUUAAUUUGAUAGAUAUUAUGAGGUUGCCUAUCAUGCUAAGAUAACCAAAUCCGAUGAGAAGUUCAAGAAGUGUUUUGAGUGUGUUUUAGUACUGACACCAUGAAUUCAAAAACAAAUAUAACAUAGAAACACAAAUCAAAACCCAUCACAUGAUGAUAUAGUCGAUAGGAAAUUUGCUUUCUUAAACCAUGCCACGUCCCAUGAAAAAGAAAAUUAAGAAAAUUACAAAUUUUACUUCGAUGGGCUCACAUGCUAUGUGAACCGUCCACUUAAUCGAGGUUAAGAUUAUCUUCAUUUACUUAGAAGAUAAUAAUGAAUUUUUCAAGUAAAAUUUUUUGAGAACCAGACAGCUUUGGUUUCAAAGACCCUACAUUUACCCAUCAUCCUUGUUAAAUAAUUAUGAGGAAGUCAUACUUACACGUGGAGAUUGAAAAAAAUAAUGAAUGAAUUCCACCAAACGAAUUAAUUUUGUUUGGCAAUUUCAUUUGAAAAUCAACAAAGAAUGAUGUGAGGUGUGAAUCUUUUUCCAUAUAUCAGCGCACAUAUUCAAAUUCAGCCCUUUCCAUUAAUUUGAUAGCGAUUAUGAGGUUGCGUAGAUGCUACGACGACGACCAAAUGUGAUGAAGAUUUCAGGAAGUGUUGGAGUGCGCAUGUUUGAGGACGAAAACUGUGAACUUGAAAUGACUUAGAAGAUUAAUUUAAGUUUUCAAAUACAUAAAAUAUAAUUAAUAACAUAACUUAAUACAAUAAGUUAAGGCUUCCUAAAGUCUUAAAAUAAAUAACUUUUUCCCAACCUGAAAUAUCCUUUGCCUUGGUAAUAUUCAUGUUCUUCAAGAUCAAAAUUAGUUUGUUUGAUAUAUAAUUCAAAUUAAAAGAUGGAGGGUGUGUCGGUCCUUUCUAAAUUCAAAAUUGCAUCAUCAAUCAAUCGGAUAAGGUUGUGUCCGACGGAUGAAAAUGUAAUAUUAGUUUGGACAAUGUGCCAUGGAAAGAAGAUAGAUAGAUUAAGUUCUACAUAUUCAUAUCAGUUGUCUCAGCUUUCACGGCAGACAUUUUCGACGCAAGAGACUGUCUCUUGCGGUGAGUAUUAACCACACUUCUAAACUUGGAUGUUCGAGAAGACAACUGGGAUUGAUCAGUUUUGUCUCUUUUAUUUUCAGCUUCCUAGAAUCUCUUUUUUUUUUUUUUCUCAAGGUUAAUGUCAUUUUCUAUGUUGUGGUAGAGUAGAGAAGAGCUCAGAAGGCAUGGCACAGACUGGCUGCAGCAAUGGAGAUAAUAGAUGGUCUCUCAAGGGAAUGACGGCCCUUGUAACGGGUGGAACUAGAGGAAUCGGGUCCGUGUUACCUGUUUUUCUGUUCUGGAAUGAACUUAAUUUGAUCUGUCUCUGCCAAUUAUCACCUUGUUUUUAUAUCAAUUCUGUAGGCAUGCUGUUGUGGAAGAACUGACUGGAUUAGGUGCAAGAAUACAUACAUGUUCUCGAACAGAAACUGAGCUUAAUGAAUAUUUAAGGGAUUGGGAGGGUAAAGGUUUUGAAGUCACUGGCUCAGUCUGUGAUGUAUCCUCUAGGGCCCAAAGAGAGAAGCUAAUGGAGACAGUAUCUUCUAAGUUUAAUGGGAAGCUGAAUAUCCUUGUUAGUUAACCUCUAGUUUGUUAAAUGUGGCCCAUCCAUUUUAGAAUCAUUUUCAUUAAAUAUAAUUGAUGAGUUACCCUAACCGAAUCUUUGAAUUUAGAUCAACAACGCUGGAACUGGCAAACCGGGACGGACGGUGGAGUUCACAGCUGAAGAGUUCUCAAGUAUCAUGGCUGUAAAUUUUGAAUUUGUCUACCAUCUAUGCCAACUUGCUCAUCCCCUUUUGAAGGCAUCAGGAGCGGGAAGUAUUGUGCUCAUGUCUUCUGUUGCAGGUGUAGUAUCACUCAAGUAUUUAUCUGCCUAUGGUGCAACCAAAGGUACUUCAUUCUACCAUAGGGUUUAUGUUGCAGGUCCUGAGUUGUUGGACAAGAUGAUAGAUAUUUACCUUGAUAAUUUUGCUUCAGGGGCACUGAAUCAGCUUGCGAAGAGCUUGGCAUGCGAGUGGGCGCAAGACAAUAUCAGGGCUAACUCUAUUGCUCCUUGGUUCAUCAAAACUUCUCUGGUAGAACCUGUGAGUACCCUUCACCUCAUUUGAAGUUGCUGUUGUUUUCAUUGGGAAAACUGAUUAAUAAACUAAUCUUCUGUUUUGUUUUCUUUUAUUUUUUUGGUUGUAUCAUUUUGGUUUCAGUUUCUUAGUAAGAAAAGCUUUACGGAAGAGGUAAUAAGAAGAACUCCGCUUGGUCGAGUGGGGGAUCCAAAGGAGGUGUCAUCCUUGGUAGCAUUCCUCUGCCUACCAGCAUCAUCUUACAUUACUGGCCAGACCAUUUGUGUUGAUGGUGGGAUGAGUAUUAAUUGUUUCGAUCCAAGUCAAUGCUAGAAACACCUAGCAUUUAUAUUAAUAUAUGUUGUUUUCUCAAAACCGCUUCUGUUUUUGGGAUUAUUUGCUCGUGAUAGUGACCUUGUGGUCCUAGGAUUAAUGCAUGGUUACCAAAUAUUAAGUCUAUGCUUCCAAUAAAUAUUAAAAAAUUUCUUAUUAUUCAAUCACGGAUUUCUACCUUCUUCUCCGGUCAUAGAUACUGUUUAGGUCUCCGGUGCAUUCCCCGCUCACCCACCUACAUCUGAUUGGUUGCAACGUUCAAUCACGGAUUUCUUAUUAUUCAUAUAUCUUUUAGUACAUUUUUUCAAAUUCUUGAUAUUUAUUCGUAUUAUUUGUAUAAUUUAUAUAAGAAAAAAUGAUUUAAAAUAAAAAUAUAUGGUUUAAAAUUGAUAAAAUAUCAUGAAUAACGUUUUACAAUCCAUAAGAUACAAAAAUAAAACAAACUGAUAGAAAAAUAUCGACAUUGGUUAAAAAUAAUUAAGUUAAUCGCGAGUAUAACUAAAUCAUCUCAACUUGAUGAAUGAUAAAUUCAUUUAUAAAAAAAUUUAAAAUAAAAAACCUAUUAAUUAUUGAAAAUUCAAAUAUGAUUUGAUAUAAAUGUUUUGUUAUGAAAUUUACAUUUGUAUGAAAAAAUAGUAAACUUUUCUUAAGGUUCGUAGUCCCCUGGAAACAUUUUUUAGUAUUUUUUUCGAGAGGUACAAAUUUCUUGCUUACUUUAAUAUAUUUAAGACACAAAAUUUGACAUAUAUAUUUGAUCCAUCAAUCAAAACUCCCAUCCCACACACAUUUUGUAAAGUUAGAGCCAUUAGUUUUUAUAUUCAAUUUUUACCUCUUUUUUUGCAUAUUUUAAUAAGAAUAAAUUAGAUGUUGUAAUUUCUUAUUUUAAAUAAGAGUAUGAUACCACAUUAAACGAUAAAAUAAAAAUUGUAUAUAUGUGAAAUAUAUGUCAUUAUUCAUCUUGAUAUGUAUUAUACUGUUUACCUCUUCAACAAGUUUUGUAAAAUUUUUUGUUUUGUAGUAAGUAAAGUGUGGAGAGUUACCCUCAAAGACAUGGGAUUUAAAAGAAAUAAGAAAAAGAGAAAAAUGUCAAAUAUUUCUUAUUAUAAUCACUUGAAAAAUAAGUCCAAUACACGUGGAGUUGAAAUAGGUUUACAAUCAAAGGAAGUAAAAGAAAAAAAGAUAAACUAAUCUUUCCUUGCUCCAAAAAAGAAAGAUAAUAAUGUUGAUGUGGUAAAUAAAUUAAUAAUUUUAACAUCUCCCCACAAACUCAUAAAACUCAUAAUGCGGUUGUAAGAAGUAGUGAGAGCUUAAAUAAAUUAACUUACAAUAAAAUGAAGUAAAAGAAAAAAAUUAAUUUACCCUUACUCGAUAAAUCUUUAGUAUAUUAUUAUUAUUAUUAUUAUUAUUAUUAUUAUUAUAUCUCAAAGUCAAGAUUAUGAACAUGAAAAUUAAACAUAUCGCGCUUCAAUCUUGACAAGACUAAUAUAAAGUGAGGUUUUCCCCUUCUUAUUAUUAAUAUUAUUAUUAUCACUACUACGAUAUCUUUGUUUACACUAAAAUCUUUUCUUUAAUGCCCUCAAAGUCAAGAUUACGAACAUAAAAAGCAUGUCACACUUCAAUGUUCACAAGACUAAUACAAAAUGAGGUUUCCUCCUAAAUUUAUUAUUACCAUUACAUAUCUUUGUUUACACUAAAAUCCUAUCUUUAAUACCCUAAAAGUCAACAUUAGGAACAUGAGAAACAUUUCACUAUUUAAUGUUGACAUGACUAAUACAAAGUGAGGUUUCCCUAAAUUUAUUAUUAUUAUUACAUAUCUUUGUUUUCACUAAAAUCUUAUCUUUAAUACCCUAAAAGUCAAUAUUAGGAACAUGAGAAACAUUUCACAAUUUAAUGUUGACAAGACUAAUACAAAGUGAGGUUUUCCCCUAAAUUUAUUAUUAUUAUUACAUAUCUUUGUUUCCAUUAAAAUCUUAUAUUUAAUACCCUAAAAGUCAAUAUUAGGAACAUGAAAAGUAUAUCACACUUCAAUGUUGACAAGACAUUAUACAAAGUGAAGUAUUAUUUCCAUAAUAUCUUUGCUUACACUAAAAUCUCAUCUUUAAUAUCCUUGAAGUUAAGAUUAUGAGCAUGAAAAAUAUGGCAUACUUCAAUGUUGACAAGAUUAAUACAAAGUGAGGUUUCUUCGUCAAUUUAUUAUUAUUACUACAAUAUCUUCCUACACUAAAAUCUCAUCUUUAAUAGCUCAAAGUUAAUAUUACAAGCAUGAAAGUUCAACAUGCCAUCCUCCAAUCUUAACAAGGCUAAUACAAAUUGUGAUUUCCCUAAUUUUUUUUCCAUUGUCUUUCUUUUUCUUGUACCUGUUGUGAUCGAUUUAGGUCACAAGCCAAAUAAUUGCAAGAAAAUGAACUCACACGUGAAAAUUGAGAAGGAUGAAAUAUUCUCUAACAUUGCACACUCUUAGAAGAAAAAUCAUUUGGUUGACAAUUUUAUUUGAGACUAACAAAUUGACGGAAGGACAUGAUGUGAGGCCAGCUUGUAUAUGCUUUUAUUCAAAUCUAGCCACAUGAUGAAUCCUACAAACUCCUUUCCCAUUUUUUUAUUGCAAUGUUUUAAAUGAUGCCACGUACCUAAAUUCUUGAAAUUUUGAGUCAGUUAAAGACAUGUCUGGAUGGCAUGGAGGAGAGUUAGGGGGCUAUUCGGCUUGUACCCCUUCAAAUUCAGCCUGCUCCAUUAAUUUGAUAGCUAUCGUGAGGUUGCCUAUGAUGCUAAGAUAACCAAAUGUGAUGAGGAUUUCAAAAAGUAUUCGAGUGUACUUCAGUACCAAAUCUGUGAAAUGAUUAUUGAAUGCUACCUAAUUUUGUUUGAAAUUUUCAUUUGAAAUUAAAUAAAUAAAUAUGUGAGGCCUAAAUCUUUUUCCAUCAUAUUGUACUCAUGUUCAAAGUCUGCCACUUCCAUUCAUUUGACAGCUAUAAUGAGGUUGUCUAUGAUGCUAAAAAUGACCAAACGUGAUGAUGAUUUCAAGAAGUAUUCCAGUAUAUUUUAAUUGGCAAUGUUUUAAAGAUAGGUAUCAUUCAUCCUAAAAAUUCAUCCAUUCAUGUUCAUUGCAUGGUCGAAAUGUUAUUAAACAACUAACAUUAUAAAUAUAUAAUUUAUAUUUUAUUAAAAUUAAAAAUAAUUUUUAAAAACUAAUAUGUAUAUAUAUAUAAUUAAAAACCAAUUAUAUUUAUUUUUUAAUCUUUUAUAUAAAUGUACUAAUAAUUAAAAUUUUAUUAAAUAAAAUAUGUAAAAUUUGAAAAUUGAAUAAAAUUUGCAUUAUAUAUAUAUAAAAGUUUAAAAGAUACUAGAUUAUUUUAUUCAUAUUGAAUUUCUGAAAUAAUAUACAUAUUUUUUUCUUUAGUUUCACAAACAUUAACAUUUGGAUAAGUAGCUGAGUAGUUGUUCCUGAAAAUGCUCAAGCACAUAUUAGCAAGAAUGAAGAAUUUGUUUCUAUUCUUUCAUAUUUUACAGUAGACCAAUGGCUAUAUAUAUAUAUUACAAUGUAACUAAUCUAACCAUCUAUUGAACUACCUAACCAUCUUCUAACUAAUCAUAACAACAUCUGUUAGAGAGGAGAAGAAUCAGCUGCUGGUGCGGGUGCUUGUCUAUCAUCCCCCCGCAAGCUGACAGGUCUUGGGACAAUAGAGAAAUGAGUACGAGCGGCUGAGAACUAACAGCUUGGAACAUAUUUAGUAAAGACAUCUGCCAACUGGUCGGUAGAAGGAACAUAUUGAAUUAAAAGCUCUUUGCGAAUGACCUUAUCACGGACAAAGUGAAGAUCAAUCUCUAUGUGCUUGGAACGGGCAUGGAAGACAGAGUUAGCUGCAAGAGGAGCAGCACUGAUAUUGUCACACCAGAUCAAAGGAGUGUUCGGUUGAGGAAUGCACAACUCUUUGAUCAGAAACUGAACCCAGGAGACCUCAACAGCGAGAAAAGCAAGUGCCCGGUACUCCGAUUUUGCACUACUACGAGAGACGACACGUUGCUUGGUAGAGGACCAUGAGAUGAGAUUGGUGCAAAAAAAAAAGACAAAAGCCACUAGUGCUUCUUCUAUCAUCGAGACAUGAAGCCCAAUCCGCAUCGGUAUAGCCUUGAAGAGACCAAGAUGGUGAGGCAUGGAUAGAAAGACCAUGAGUAGCAGUACCUUUGAGAUAGCGAAGUAUGUGUUUAGCAGCUUGCAGAUGAGAAGUGAUAGGAUGAGCCAUGUAUUUACAAGCUUGAUUUACUGCAAAUGAGAUUUUUGGUCUUGUGAGAGUGAUGUACUGAAGAGCACCCACAAGACUGUGAUAGUGAGUAGCAUCAAGAGCAGAUAAAGGUUCUCCAUCUGCUGCUGAUAACAAUUUUCCCAAAGCACCAAGUGUGCUAGCAGAUUUGGCCCCAAGAAGAUCAGCACGCUCAAGUAGCUGAUGUAUGUAGCGUUGUUGAUUGAGAUGAAGAACAUGAGGAAGCCGGGUGACUUCAAUGCCAAGGAAGUAGCUAAUAUCUCCAAGGUCUUGAAGAGCAAAAUGGGAGCUAAGCUGAGAAAUGAUAUGAUGGACCUGUGGUGGAUUGUUGCCAGUAAUGAGAAUAUCAUCCACAUAGAUUGAGAUGAUGAUAAUAUCAGAUGCAGAGUGGAAAUAAAAUAAAGAUGCAUCAGCCCUUGAGCAUUGGAAUCCCAAUUGUAAGAGAAAGGAGCUGAGCUUGUGGAACCAGGCUCGAGGCGCUUGUUUAAGGCCAUAGAGAGCCUUCUGUAGACGACAAACAUGAGUGGGGCAAGAGCUAUCUUCAAAGCCUAGAGGUUGCAUCAUGAACACCUGUUCUUAAAGAUCUCCAUUUAAAAAAGCAUUGUGGACAUCUAGUUGUUUAAUAGGCCAGUUGGAAGAGACAACAAUGGAGAGAACAAGCCUGAUAGUGCAAGGCUUCACAACUGGACUAAAUGUCUCAAAAAAAUCAAUGCCAUAGGUUUGAUGAAAACCUUGGGCAACCAGCUGAGCUUUGUACCUGUCAAUGCUGCCAUCAGGUUUAUGUUUGAGUUUGAAGACCCAUUUACACCCAAUAAUUUUGGCAUUAGAUGGAGGUGGCACCAAAGACCAAGUUUGAUUCUUCAAUAGAGCUUGAUAUUCUUGUUCCAUAGCAAGCUUCCAAUUAGGGUCUUGAAAAACCUGUUUGACAGUACGUGGCUCAGCUAUGAGUGAGGUAAGAUAGGUCUUCUUCUUAUAGAUACCAAAUUUGGAUCUGGUAAUCAUAGGAUGACUAGGAAUUGGAGCUAUGGAAUCCUGGAGGGAAGCAGUAGAAAUCUCAGCUGCUUCAUCCACAAAUGGCACCUGAAUGAGCGGGGGUAAAGACAAAAAGCUGGCUAGAGGUGAUGUGGGGGCAAGUUCGGAUGGGAUAGCCGGAGAAGAGCUGGUUGUGGAGGGGAAAAGAACAGAAGAUGGAGGAAAAAGAAAUGCUGGAGUGACAGGAAAAUGAGAUGAUUGGUGGGAAGGAGAAGUCAAUGCUUGAAAUGGAAAUGUAGUCUCUACAAAGACUACAUGCCUAGAGAUAUAUACUCUGCCAGUUGUAAGAUUAAGGCAAAAAUAACCCUUGUGAAAUGUUGCAUAACCAAGAAAGAUACAGGGUAUGGACUAUGGCUGAAAUUUGUUGGAGUUGAGAUGUCUGAGGUGUGGAUAACAAAGACAACCAAAGACUUUGAAAUGGAAAUAAUCAGGUGGGUGUUUGUAAAGAAGAGAAAAUGGGGAGCUGUAAUUGAGCAAAGGAGAAGGCAUGCAAUUGAUAAGGGUAAUUGUUGUAGUGAAAGCAUAGGACCAAAAUUUGGAUGGCAGGGCAGUUGUGUAAAGAAGAGUGAGCCCGAUUUCUACAACAUGGCGCAUUUUGCGUUCAACCCGACCAUUUUGUUCAGGUGUAUAAGGGCAAGAAAAUCUAUGGAGUAUACCAUGAAGAGAUAGAAACCGGAGGGUAGUGAACUUUCCACCAUGGUCUGUUUGAAGGCAUUUAAUGGUGGUCUGAAAUUGGUUUUCAACAAGAGUUUUAAAUUGAACAAAAGUGGAGUAAACCUGGUCCUUGGUGAGGAGUAAAUAUAUCCAUACAAACCUAGAGUAAUCAUCCAUGAGCAACAAAAAAUACCAGGCACCUGCGGAGGAAGGAACAGGUGUUGGUCCCCACAAGUUUGCAUGGAUGAGUUCAAGAGGAGAGGAGGCCCGGGAAGUGGACAAAGAAAAAGGAAUUUUGUGACUUUUGGCAUAACAACAAGCAUUGCAAACAUCAAUUGUUUUAUUUGAGUUAUAUGAAAUAUUACAUGUAUGAAAAAUUUUCUGAAGUAUUAUAGCAGAAGGGUGGCCAACUCGUUGAUGCCACAACAUAGUAGUGGGCUGAGUUUUUGUGAGAAACACUUGAUGUUUAGAAUUGGCAGUAGGUGAGUUGAUAGAUGAGGUAGGAAAUUUGUAGAGUCCACGUUCAAGUUGGCCUUGGAGAAGAGUCACUUUGGUAUCCUUGUCCUUGACAAAAAAUGAAAAAGGAUGAAAUUCAAGAAUGGUAUUAUUAUCAGUACAGAAUUUUGACACACUGAUGAGAUUUGAAGUGAGUUGUGGAACAUGAAGCACAUUGUGUAAAACAAAGGGUUUAGCAGAAAUGUGGAGAAAGGAAUGACCAACUUGGGUUAUGGGUAGGGACUUACCAUUGCCAACCAUCACAGAGUCAGUACCAUUGUAUGAAGUACCAUUGUGGAUAUUAGCAACUGUGUGGGAGAGAUGGUGGGUGGCGCUUGAAUCCAAAAACCAGGAGUCCGUUGAUGCUGGGGAAGGUGCUGCCAUCAUGGCUUGAGCAGGAGGAGUGGGACCAGUUUGAGAGGUUGAUGAGGCUGGUGCAUGUGGCCCUUGAUAAUUCACAUCAAAUCUGUGAUAACAAGAGAGGACCAUGUGCCCAAACUUGCCACAUAACUGACACUGUGGUUGGUUAUUUGUCCGGGAUCGAUUAUUGUUGAAUCGGUUAGGGCGAUAUCCUUGAGGAUGUUGCUGUCGUGAAUUUGGAAGAGUGUCAGGUCGUGGGGUUGGCAUGAAUGACUGAGGUGGUUUCCCUUGAGAGGGUUUGAUGGACUGUGACCUUCGUGGUCUGUUAUGAGUUGCAAUAUUGGCAAUGAGGAGGUCUUCUUCAGCAGUUGUGGUUUGAAGAUGCAGCCUCUAUUCAUGAGUCAGAAGGAUGCUAUGUACCGCAUGAAGUUGAAGGUCAUCAUCUCUAGCUGUGAGAGAAGCCAUGAUGGGGUUGUAUUCAACCCCUAGUCCACUUAGUAAUUGAAGAAUUUGAUCCUUUUCUGGCACUGGUUCUCCAAUAGCUGCUAGACUAUCAGAGAUGUGUUUGAGUUUUUGGAUGUAUUCCAUCAUGGUAAGAGGGCCUUUUUUGGUUGUUUGAAAAGCAAGUCUCAGCUGCAUUGUUCUUGCUUUGGUGGAAGCAGAGAAGCUUCAUUGGAGGGUUGUCCAUGCUUCAUGGGAUGUUCGUAGCCCAACAAUUUGGCCCAUAACAUCUGGAGUGAGAGAGGAGUAGAUCCAACUCAGGAUCAUACGAUCAUAUCUCCUCCAAACCAGAAAAUCUGGGUUCACUUCUCCGGUGGAUAUUAUUUUUGGAGGACAUGGUCUCAGACCUUCAAUAUAGUCCUCAAAUCCAUUGGCAUAUAUCACAUUUUCCAUUUGUGUAUGCCAAAGGAUAUAGUUAUCUCUAUCUAGUUUGAUAGGAAGAGGAUGGUUCAGCAUGCUCAUGUUCAGGGUAGAGGUUACCUGAGAAGAGACAAUCUCCGGCGUGGUUUGUGUUGAUGAAGCCAUCGGAAACUAGGUACAGUAUGUUCUUGAAGCUUUCUUGAGGUGAGUAAGAAAAGCAAAAGGUAAUCUGCAGAUGAUGUAUAUCAGAAGAAAGUUGCAGUAGAAAGAGUUGUUGGAGAUUUCUUUAUUGUCUUGCUGGGGAGAGAAAUCAAAAAACGAAAAUUCAUGAGCCUAUGGCUCUGAUACCAUGAAAAUGCUCAAGCACAGAUUAGCAAGAAUGAAGAAUCUGUUUCUAUUCUUUCUUAUUUUACAGUAGACCAAUGGCUAUAUAUAAAUAUUACAGUGUAACUAAUCUAACCAUCUAAUCAUCUAUUGAACCACCUAACCAUCUUCUAACUAAUCAUAACAGCAUCUGUUAGAGAGGAGAAGAAUCAGUUGCUGGUGCGGGUGCUUGUCUAUCAGUUCCAAGUUACCUUAAACCUUGAAAGGAUCAAGUCCUUUUGAUUUUGUUUAAAUAAGCUACUAAGCUACUGCUCACUCCACAUUGGAAAUUCAAGGGGAUGAAAAAAGGUUUAUAAAUCUCAUUCAUCUCCAACAGGUCACAUGGCCUUUAGGCCGUGGGAGGCAAUGCGGUGAGUGGGUCGUGUGCUCUAAAUGGAGGCCUAUUUUUGCAACAAAAGAAAGACCGAAACCAAACCAAGCAUGAACCAAAUCGGAUCAAGAUCCAGUCGACGGUCUGACUAGUUCAGUAGGAAUUUUUCAUAAUAUGGUUUAAUGGCAUGUAGAUAUUCUUUAGUCAAAGUUUUAAUAAGCCCAUCAAAAGUUGUAAUAUUUUAUGUUAUAAGUUAAUAGAGAAUAUUUUUUACUUUAAAUUUUUGUUGGUAUUUUCCCAUAAUCUAUAGUUAUUAAGGCAUUGAUAUUUUCUCAAAUUAUAGAAUUAAGUUCUAAAACAACAUUUAUUUUGACAUAGAUGAACAUUUGAAAGAUUAUAAUUUAUCUUUAACUUAUUUUUCUUUAUAACCAAAAUCUUUUCUCUCGAUUUUUCAUAAUAUUUGAUUAUGAUUAAUUAUUCAUGCAUACAAUCUAGGUCUGAAUCUAUUAUCUUCAACACUUAUUUUUAUUUUUUUAUGUCAUGUUUGAAAAUUUACUUUAGAUAGUAAGUCAAUAAAUGUUUCUAAAGGUAAAUGAGUGUUUGGUAUUAUGAUUCUUAGAUCUUGACUAGUAAGGGAUUCUUUAUAAUUUGUUCAUUUUAUUACUUGAGCUAAUUUAAUUCUCUAUUUAUUAAUUUCUUAUAUUUCAUCAUGUAAAUUUUGAAUAGUUAUAAGUUUGUGAAUAGUUUUGAAUCUAUUAAAUAUUUCAUCUAUAAUAUUGAUUAGAUUUGGGUUCUUGAAGUCUACUUAUCUCUUUAAUUUGUAAGAAUUAAAUCUUUUAAAUAUAACAAAUAUUGAAUUUUUAUGUUGAAUCCUCUAUUUUAUGACAUCAAAAAAUAUUUAUUUAUUUACUUUUGAAUAAAUCAUAUUUAUUAUUUUAUAUGAACAAACAUACUCACUUUCACAUUCAUUUUCAUCAUUAGAGUCUUCUAGACUAAUUAUAUUGGUUUAAUGUGUCUAGUAUUUGUGAUAAAUUUCAUAAAAAUAUUCAAGUGUAAAUAUUAAACUACAUAGUAUACUGUCACAUAUGACACAUUUCAAAUAGUAAAGACUAAAACCAUAAUUAAAGAUAACUUAGGUUUUAUUUUUUUUGUCAAAAAUAUUAUAAUUUUAAUUAAUUGAAUUAUUAAUUUUUCAAAAAUUUAGAAAAAAUAAAAAAUAGUAUUUUAAAAUUUGGCUCUCUUGAAAAUCAUGAGAGGAUAAAAAUUGGUAAAAAAAUAAAUAAAUUUAGAAAAGGUUAUUGAGAUUAAUUAAGUACAUCCUUGCCAUGAUAUUUAAUAUUUUUUUUAUGUUUUAUAAAUAGGGUAAAUGGACAUCGUUCUAAAUACAGGAAGAUGAUAUUAUUAUAUAUAAAAAAAAUGUAAAAAUAGUGAGUAAUAUUAUUAAAAAUAUCUCAUGGAAUGGGGCAAGAUAAAGGGCCAAAAAAAAAAAAAUUAGAGAAGAAAGAAGAAAAAGAAGAGUGUUGUAAGCACAGGAAGUCAAAAGUACUGUAUAAGCGUGAUUCAUCCCUGUUUCCUACUUCGAUUAUAAAGUAUGGACAGAGAUACAGAAAAAAAAAAAGAGAAGAAGCAGCAUUCAGCUUUCACCAGUGCAGAGUGGUAUGGUGGUGUAGCAUAUGUUUGGUUGUUAUUCUUGCUCCAAACAAGUGUGAGCUGAUCCAUUUCUAUACUCAUUUUUGUUAUCUCAGUCGACUGAUUCGUUUAGUGGGCCUGGUGUUAGCCAAAAGCUAGCCACCAAUUUUCUUUGCUUUAUCCCAUUACAUUAGAAUAAAAAGAAAAUGGAGGUUUGAGAGGGCCAUUGGGACCAUUGGGACCAUUAUCAGUUGUCUUUUGUUUUCAAGUUGUAAGAAGUCCUGUCAAGGUUUAUGUCAUUUGCUAUGUUGUUUCUGUUCCAUUUUCAGUUCAAAGAGUGGUAGAGUAGAGAAGGAGGCAUGGCUCAGACAUUUGGGUGCAGCUCUGGAGAUAGUAGAUGGUCUCUCAAGGGAAUGACUGCUCUUGUAACUGGUGGAACUAAAGGAAUUGGGUUGGUGUUACCUGUUUUUAUGUCUUUGGGUUUGGACUAUACCUUCCUAUAUAUAAACGUAUGUAUCAAUUCUGCAGGCAUGCAAUUGUGGAGGAACUGGCUGGAUUAGGAGCAACCAUACACACGUGUUCUCGAAAAGAAACUGAGCUCAAUGAAUGCUUGAAGGAUUGGAAAGCUAAAGGUUUUGGAGUGAGUGGUUCAGUGUGUGAUGUAUCCUCUCGGGCACAAAGGGAGAAGCUAAUGGAGACUGUCUCUUCUGUGUUCAAAGGGAAGCUGAAUAUCCUUGUAAGUUCCUCUAGUCUCUAAGGUUCCUAUCCAUGAUAUUCCACAUACUUUGUCGAACUUCCUACAAUUUGAGUUCCCCUACUUGAUAUAUAUAUUUUGGUUCCGGAUUCAGGUCAACAACGCUGCUAUUGUUAUUCAGAAACCAACAGUAGAGGUCACGGCAGAAGAGUUCUCAACAAUCAUGGCCAUAAAUUUUGAAUCUGUGUAUCAUCUGUCCCAACUCGCACACCCCCUUUUAAAGGCAUCAGGAGCGGGAAGCAUUGUAUUCAUCUCCUCUGUUGCCGGCGUAGUGUCAGUCAAGUAUCUGUCUGCUUAUGCAGUAACCAAAGGUAUUUCAUUACAUGAUCCACAGUAUAUAUAUAUAUCGCAAGUUCUUGGGUUGUGGCCCUUGUGGCCUUCUCGGCGUGUCAUUAUCAUUAUCAUUUUGUGAUUUUUCAGGAGCAAUGAAUCAACUUACAAAGAAUUUGGCAUGCGAGUGGGCGGAAGACAAUAUUAGAAGUAAUGCAGUUGCUCCUUGGUGCAUCAAAACUCCGAUGGUGGAUCAGGUAAUUCAGUUGCUCUUCUUUUUUGUCUGGGAAAAUUCAAUAAUCAAUUCCUCUCUCUUUUCUGUCUUUUGCAUAAUCUGGGUUGCAGAUGCUCAGUAACAAAACCUUUCUGGAAGGGGUGAUAAAUCGAGCUCCACUUCGCCGUGUGGGAGAUCCGAAGGAGGUGUCAUCUUUGGUGGCAUUCCUCUGUCUACCAGCAUCAUCUUACAUUACUGGACAGACUAUUUGUGUUGAUGGUGGCGUGACUGUUAAUGGUUUUGAGCCAAACCUGUUCUAGGAACAUCAUUAAGACUCUAAAAAAUCUUAGCUUCUUCUACCGCUUUCCUGUUUGGAUCCUGUCUUUUUCCUGAAUAAUAUGUUUGUGGUGGUAAGUACUCUUCUGUUUUUUCGGUGUGGGGUUCAUUUGAAAACAUUGUUGCAUGAUGCUUAUAAUAAUCGUUGGAAAGUUGGAAGAAGUUACUUAUCAUUGGAUGAGAUUCUUGUGAUGGGUGUUUCCUAUAAUCAGAUUUAUCUUGUUAUAAGGUUGUUGUUGUUGUAGUAAUAGGAUUGAAAGAGAAAUGCAAAUAAUCGUAAAAGGAUGAUGAAAAUUCAUCAUUUUUACUUAUUCAAAUAUUACACCAUCUCUAAUUUACAAUGAAUUUCAAUGAGUGCAAGUGAAACCAACCUUAAAAUAAUUUUGUUUGAUAAAUUUAGAUGAAAUUCAACCAGUGUGAAUCUUUAAAUUUUUUUUUUCAUUUCCAUUAAAGAUUAUUGUAAAUGAAAAAAAAUUAAAGUCAAAAAUACAUGUAGCAAUGAGACGAAGGAAAGCGGGUUCUAUCAUCUAUCACACAUCAUGGAAAAAGCUGUGGUACCAUGGCUUUUCCAGGACUUUUCCUUGCAUAAUGUUACCGUAUGCUAAUGUUUUGUCACUCAAAGAUAUUUUAAUAUAAAGUAGCGCGGAUAUACUAUAAACAUUCAGUUACGCCAUGUAACACGUUAGCCAAUAAGGUUACAAAUUUUAAUUUUAUAUUAAUAAUAUGAUUGGGUAUGCUCUAUAUUUUAAAAUAUAAUUGAAUCACAUAUAUCUAGAACUAGAAAUCCUUUUGAGGGACCAAUAACAUAAACCAUUAAAAUUUUAUAAUUUGAUAUUAUAAAUUCCUAUUAAAUUUUAAAAUAUAUUAAAUUUAUUUGAUAUAAAUAUAUAUAAAAAUAAAGAAAAAAUUUAUAUUUUCAUAUGAUAAAUUAUACAAAAGAAAAGCAAAUAUUUUUUUUUUAUCAAAAUUGUUUUCAACAAUAUUUCAAAUAUAUAUAUAAAUUUGGGAAACUUGUAUUUUGGAGCUGCUAUUUAGAAAUUAUAUGGUUUUCGGAACCCAAAAAUGGGAAAUAUGAGAAUCAAUUUUUAAUAUGAAAGGUAUUAUCGUUUUUGUGCACUCUGAGUCGGCUCCAUCUUUUGUGCCCAAAUUGUCCCUCCAUGUUUCCAACACAUUAUCUUAGCAUCAUUCCAACCUCCAUGUCAGUACGACCAUUGAAAUUUAGAAAAAAAAACACUAAAAUCUAAAUUUGUAACUUCUCAAAAAAAAAAAAAAAAAAACAAAACAAAACCUAAUAUGCAAGUUUUCAAUUUGCUCAUUUGGAAGUUUUCUCUCAUCUUUCUUCAGUCCCAACAAUCCAAAAUUUCUCUCAUUUUAGUUCAAAAACUCAAAUCCAAAACUCCAAAUGUGAUACAUUGUGGAAUUGUUUUCAUAGUCCUUAACAAGAUACAUGCAGCAUGUAUUGAACUUUAACCUAAUUCCUUCUACCAAUUUUUCUGGCCCCAAGUUACUGGGGACUAUGGUUCCGAUUGGGUGGUUUUUGAGUAGUCAAAAACCAUUUUUAAAGCUUAGUAAAAAAAUUUAUGCCGCUCAUUUUAUUUAAACAAUUUAUAACUUAAAAAAUAAGAAAAAAAAAUGUUUUUUAAAGCUUUAUUUUGACUAAUUCAAAAAGCUUUUUUUUUUUUUUUUUUAUGUUUGAUACAUUUUUUAUAAUAUCAAUAUUAUUUUUUAAAAAUGGUGACUUUUAGCUUUUAAUUAAAACUAAGAACAAGAAGUUAUUCUAAAUAUGACUUAUGUAUUCAUUCAGUGAAAGUAAUUUUUUCAUUUAAAAAAAGUAAUUUCUUGGUGAUAAAAAGAAAUAUUUUUUUAGUAGCUUUUUGAUGCUAUAAAAAAAGUGUUGGCUAAGUUUGUAUGAUAAAAUUGGUGUUAUUUAUAUACCUGCACUUUCGCUAGGGUCUUAUUUAUUGGGAAACUUGUGUUUAAUAUGCUCAAUUCUAUUUCUUUGUAUGGCUAUGCAAUUGUUUGGAUUUGGCAACACUAAUCAAUAAAUGUACUUUAUAUUUGAAACAUUGGAAUAAAAAAAGAGAAUAAGAGUUAAUUUUAUUUUCAAUUUAUUAAUAUAUUUUAAUUAUUUUUUACAAUGAUGAUAGAAUUAAAAAGAAAAUCACUUAGUAACUCUUAGGUACUACCUUAAUAUACCUUAGUAACCUUAAUCUAUCUUAGGUAUUAUCUUAGUUACACUUGGGUACUACCUAUGUGAAGUCUCAAAACUUCAUUUGUGGACAUUACUUACUUCAUGUGUGAACAUUAGAGCAUGACAUUAUGCGCACCUUUAAUAAGUGUUACUAAGGUAGUACCUAAGGUACAGUCAACACUAUAUCAAAGGUGCACUUAAUGUCAUGCUCUAAUGUUCACAAAUGAAGUUUUGAGGCUUCACAUAGGUAGUACCCAAGUCUAAUUAAGAUAGUACUUAAGGUCGGUUAAGGUAGAUUAAGGUAAUACCUAAGAGUUACUAAGGUAAUACCUAAGGUACAAUCACCACUAUAUCAAAGGGGCACAUAAUGUCAUGCUCUAAUGUUCACAAAUAAAGUAAGUAAUGUCCAUAAAUAAAAUUUCGAGGCUUCACACAGGUAGUACCCAAGUUUAAUUAAGAUAGUACCUACAAUCAGUUAAAAUAGUACUUAAGAUAAAUUAAUGUAGUACCUAAAAGUUACUAAGGUAUAGUAAAUACUAAAGAACAAUAUAUAAAAAUUAAUUACCUUCGUAUUUCAAGUAGGGGUUAGGGAAAAAUGUGAUAGAAUGAUAGGAAGACGAGACAUUUUUUUAAGGAAACCAAUAUUUUGGAUUUCAGCUUUUCGUCCAAGUAUGCUUUGCUAUAGCAAAAUCAAUAUCAUAGUUAUAUUUUAACUGGAUGUUCUUAGGAUGGAGUGCUUCAUUUGGUUGUUGAGAAUUUAGACAAGAAAGAAAAAUGCAGGUUAGAGUUUUGGAUUAAGGGUUUCUUUUCUCAAAUUGAAGAAAUUUUGGGAAAUUUUAAAUGGGUUUUAGGAUUGUCUG